GUACCCACAAUUACUUGGAUAACUGUGGUAAUUCUAGAGCUAAUACAUGCAAACAGAGCUCCAACCGGAGACGGAAGGAGUGCUUUUAUUAGAUCAAAACCAAUCGGUGGCGAGUUCGCUCGUCAUCGUUCAACUUGGUGACUCUGAAUAACUUUACGCUGAUCGCACGGUCUCGCACCGGCGACGCAUCUUUCAAAUGUCUGCCUUAUCAACUGUCGAUGGUAGGUUCUGCGCCUACCAUGGUUGUAACGGGUAACGGGGAAUCAGGGUUCGAUUCCGGAGAGGGAGCCUGAGAAACGGCUACCACAUCCAAGGAAGGCAGCAGGCGCGCAAAUUACCCACUCCCGGCACGGGGAGGUAGUGACGAAAAAUAACGAUACGGG
rnacentral:rRNA from 11 species